ensembl:lncRNA
CGUUCACAUGCCAAUUUGCGAAAUAAGACAUCGAACGCAACGCUUUCAAAUUCAGAUGUCCUAAUAUGGAAGCAAGACACCUCCUUUCAAGGACCAUGGACACAAAGCUGAAGACCUGCGCACAGCAGCACUGAUGCAAGUAACGUGAACAGGAGCACCACGCGGUUGCCCCAAUGCCCCUGAGAUUCCUCCUAAGUGCCAAAGUAAUGAAGCGUCUUGGACAGGAAGGGCCCAGCCUUACCAACCGAUGUCAUUAUCAAGCCUCCACAUUCGUCUACUGGGUCAGAUGAGACAACACAGCGCCCAGGCUUCUCUGUGGAAGGUGGAGGGAGGGAGUCUUUCAGCACACCUGCCUAUCGCUAGACGGCUGUCUCUUCCAGUCGACUCCUGAGGGAAGACCCCCUGUGUAGCUCACUCGGCACACACAACACAGACGCAUUGUUGUAACGCAGUGACUUAAAGAAUCGCCGGUUCGUUGCUUGAAACAUUCACAGCCGGGUCCCCAUCAACGUUUACAGACUGUACACAAAGAAGAUGAAUGGGACUAACAUCAUCCAUGGACAGUAACAGUAACUAAGCGUUGGAAAUACAUUUGACCUUGGACAUUUAGCU